rnacentral:lncRNA from 1 species
CUAAAUCCCAGAAGGGGACCUACCCGGGAAUAUUAAAUCUCUGGAGUAAUCAUGGUGGUUUUAAAAGAGGGAGGAUCUUUAAAAAAGAAUUUGAAAGUGAAACAUGUUAAAUGGAGCUGAAGUUCCAGGAGAAAAACAAGGGGACUAGGACAUGAGCAAGCUGCAUCUCCUCAAGACAGUAGAGGAAGCAAACCAGUUCAGGAUCCUGACCCAGGGAAUGGUGCUACCCACAGUGGGUGGGUCUUCCCACAAUUAACCUAAUCAAGAUAACUCCCACCAAGGCAUGCUCAGUCUCUCAGG